CCUACGGGAGGCAGCAGUGAGGAAUAUUGGUCAAUGGACGAGAGUCUGAACCAGCCAAGUAGCGUGAAGGAUGACUGCCCUAUGGGUUGUAAACUUCUUUUAUAUGGGAAUAAAAUGUUCCACGUGUGGGUUUUUGUAUGUACCAUAUGAAUAAGGAUCGGCUAACUCCGUGCCAGCAGCCGCGGUAAUACGGAGGAUCCGAGCGUUAUCCGGAUUUAUUGGGUUUAAAGGGAGCGUAGGUGGAUUGUUAAGUCAGUUGUGAAAGUUUGCGGCUCAACCGUAAAAUUGCAGUUGAAACUGGCAGUCUUGAGUACAGGAGAGGUGGGCGGAAUGCGUGGUGUAGCGGUGAAAUGCUUAGAUAUCACGAAGAACUCCGAUUGCGAAGGCAGCUCACUGGACUGCAACUGACACUGAGGCUCGAAAGUGUGGGUAUCAAACAGGAUUAGAUACCCCAGUAGGC
rnacentral:rRNA from 1 species